UACCCUACUGGUAUAUGGAAUCAGCCGAGGUGAUCCGAGUGCAUUGCUCAAUCGGAACUCCUUGAAUGUCGCGUGCACUCUGAGGCUUGUCCGAACGAUCGACUAAAAAUGACGUUUGUCUUCUCAACAGUUUCCGUAAAGUCCAAGUGCAUGAGAUGGCCGAACGAAGUGUAAUAAGUGACUGCUACAAGAUACUUCAGGUGCCUGUGAUUAACAUGGGUAGCGGUUAUUCCUUCACCAAACGCUCGGCAUUUGGAAUUGAGAGUGACGGGUCUGUCUACUUAAUGAAAAGAAGUUGGGUUUUAAUGGUGGGUGACAGACGAACAUGGAUACACUACAAAUCUAAAAACUCGCCGACCUCAAUGCUUACAGAGCGACAGGAUUGACAGAGAUGUGUCAACCUACUGUGUCCUAAUAAAGAUCUAACGUAACUUACCAGAGUCAUUGUAUCAUACCUACUGUGUCCUAAUAAAGAUCUAACGUAUAACUUACCAGAGUCAUUGUAUCAAACCUACUGUGUCCUAAUAAAGAUCUAACGUAACUUACCAGAGCCAUUGUAUCAAACCUACUGUGUCCUAAUAAAGAUCUAACGUAACUUACCA